GAUGCCCGCUUGCUGGGCGGAUUAGUGGCGAACGGGUGAGUAACACGUGAGUAACCUGCCCCUGACUCUGGGAUAAGCGUUGGAAACGACGUCUAAUACUGGAUAUGAUCACCGGCCGCAUGGUCUGGUGGUGGAAAGAUUUUUUGGUUGGGGAUGGACUCGCGGCCUAUCAGCUUGUUGGUGAGGUAAUGGCUCACCAAGGCGACGACGGGUAGCCGGCCUGAGAGGGUGACCGGCCACACUGGGACUGAGACACGGCCCAGACUCCUACGGGAGGCAGCAGUGGGGAAUAUUGCACAAUGGGCGAAAGCCUGAUGCAGCAACGCCGCGUGAGGGAUGACGGCCUUCGGGUUGUAAACCUCUUUUAGUAGGGAAGAAGCGAAAGUGACGGUACCUGCAGAAAAAGCACCGGCUAACUACGUGCCAGCAGCCGCGGUAAUACGUAGGGUGCAAGCGUUGUCCGGAAUUAUUGGGCGUAAAGAGCUCGUACGCGGUUUGUCGCGUCUGCUGUGAAAUCCCGAGGCUCACCCUCGGGCUUGCAGUGGGUAC
rnacentral:rRNA from 1 species